AGGGCACCACCAGGAGUGGAGCCUGCGGCUUAAUUUGACUCAACACGGGAAAACUCACCCGGCCCGGACACUGGAAGGAUUGACAGAUUGAGAGCUCUUUCUUGAUUCAGUGGGUGGUGGUGCAUGGCCGUUCUUAGUUGGUGGAGUGAUUUGUCUGGUUAAUUCCGAUAACGAACGAGACUCUAGCCUACUAAAUAGAUCGUCGGCUUACAAACGCCGGCGAGACUUCUUAGAGGGACAGGCGGUGAUUCAACCGCACGAAACAGAGCAAUAACAGGUCUGUGAUGCCCUUAGAUGUCCGGGGCCGCACGCGCGCUACACUGAAGUGAUCAGCGUGCUUUUUCAACCUACUCUGUCAAGAGUGGGGAACCCAAUGAACCUUCUUCGUGAUUGGGAUAGGGGAUUGUAAUUAUUCCCCUUGAGCGAGGAAUUCCCAGUAAGCGCGAGUCAUAAGCUCGCGUCGAUUACGUCCCUGCCCUUUGUACACACCGCCCGUCGCUACUACCGAUUGAAUGUAUU
rnacentral:rRNA from 1 species